GCAACAGGCACUUCGCGAUGAUUAUGAAACCGUUUUAAUAAGAUGCCAAUUGCAACGGUUAUGUUGUUACGGUUGCAUAACUGUUGCAAUACACUUCUACUGCAACGGUUGACUUCUCUCUCUAUUUCUUUUUUUUUUCCCUUUUUCAUUUGCUUAUUACUAUCCGCUUCAACCCUAUCCCCGUAUCUUCUGGUCAUUCUAUCUCUUCCCCAUCUCCUACUUCUCUUUAUCUCUCCAUAGCGCUUCGACUUGUCCAUCAUUUUCUUAUUAAGAGCGAAUUUUAGGUUUCAUUAAAUAAUCUAUGGUGUAAUUGAUUCAGGAUGCCCAUUCAGAGCUUUUUAUUUGGUAGAACACACUGAUAAAUUUGUACCACUGCAAGCUCAUUGCCAAGCUCGAACAGUUCAUCCCUCGUUUGAUUUCAUUGUCAAUUUUCAGGUCACUUUUUCCAUUAUCUCCGUACUCGUUUGAUUUCAUUGUUUCUUAAGAUUUUUUUUGCUUGUUUUCAUUUGUGAGCAACUAGGGUUUUUAUAGAUCUAGAUUCUAGACGAACUCUGCUUCAGUCAAGCUCUAUGUAGAUCUAGACAAAGUUUAGGUUCUUGUGAUAAGUUACGAUUUUUGUUCUUACAUGGUCUUCUCCACGUUUUUGCACAACUGCUCGGUUCCAAUCUUGUUGUUUUAAGAUUCCAUUUUUAGGUUUUGCAUAAAUAGUGCUUUCUUUCACCUAAUUAGUCUUUUUCAUUGUUAAGUUGCCGGAAUGGUUUGAGGUGGGCUACGCACCAAAGUUGUUUGAUGAUAUGCUUGGAUCAUCUUAUUUGAUACUUAUUUUGGGGUUAUGCUCGUAGCUAAAUUGUUUACUUUAGAUAAAGGUGAACUGAACAAUCAUGGUUUGGCAAGCUUUUAUCUUGUUAGUUAAAAUUAAAGAAAGUAACGACUAUGGAGAUAAGAAAUCAACAAAGAACUGUCAAAAGUUGAAGCACUAAAAGCAGAGUUAUUACCCAAGUGAGAUAGACUACAUGCUUUUAGAGCUAGAGCCUUUUUCCCAACUGAAACAAUUAUCAAACUCAAUGUCUUGUUUCUACUACAUUUAUUCACACUACUUCCUUGUUUCUAUCAAUUCUUCACAUGACAAAUUGAUCUGUUUUUCUCCCAAAUUUCUUCAAUUCUUGAUAAAUUUUUAAUUGCUUUUACAUUAUAAUUUUCAACAUUUUAACUAUUGUAGAAGAAUGAGUAUAAGUUCGGAUCGACAUGUGUGCUUUGGAUCAACAAAUACUAAAUCGAGGGCAAUUUCAUCUUUUGACUAGAACUUAUGCAAUGUGUCCAUAAUAUUUUACAACUCCAUAUAUAACCAUGUAUAAAAAAAACAUGACCAUGUAGGCUUUUCCUAAAUCUUCCACAACUUUCGUCGGUACCCAAGCUCUAGCUUUAGUUGCAACUGCGUAGGGUAGCAUUUUAGAUUUUCUGGCAAGCAUGUAUCCUUCGAUCAAAAUUCUGGUAAAACUAUGAAAAGGUACGCAUUGCUUAGCCUUACACCUCUCAAUUCUCAUGUUUUCCUCUAGGUAUGGUAGUGUAAUUAAGUUAUAUGAUUGAGCUGAUGACCUUGAGGUGUUUGAUAGUUAAUAUUUUACACAGUUGUGUGUAUACAGUUAAUUCAAAAAGAGAAAAUAAGCUUCUGAUCUUCCAGUAUUGGUGAAGUUAAAAGGCGAUGGAACCUGAUAACAAUGAAGAUCGUGAUUUUCCCUUCUCUUUUGUUUGUAAACUUUCUGAAAGAGAAAAUUGGCGUUGCAAGGAGGAGGGAGUUCCGCAAUUGGUGAUAGGAGGAAAGUAAACAAGAAUGAUAGUGGUAGUAAGGUGGGAGGUCAUCCUUUGCGAUGCCUCCUGGAUUUAAUAACUUGAAAAAAGAUAAGAGCGAGAACGAGACGGAUAAAUUGCAGGGUUUAAUGGAAUGGGGCGGUGAUGGGCUCAUCGCUUUGCCAAGAUUAGGACUGGGUAGUAAAAAGAAGAGCAUUGCUAAGACGUUCCAGGCAAGGCAAAUGAACAGGAAGUUGAUGAAAGCAAUGAAGACCUUUACUUUAGAAUAUUGAUUCAUUGUUUUUGGACCUUUUAGAUGUUCUGUAGAAACUUUUACUUGAAACUUUUGUAAACUUACAC